UACGGAGGGUGCAAGCGUUGCUCGGAAUUAUUGGGCGUAAAGGGUAGGUAGGUGGUCUCAUUUGUCAGGGGUGAAAGCCUUGGGCUUAACUCAAGAAGUGCCCCUGAAACGGUGAGACUAGAGUGCUGGAGGGGGUCGUGGAAUUCCCGGUGUAGCGGUGAAAUGCGUAGAGAUCGGGAGGAACACCAGAGGCGAAGGCGGCGACCUGGACAGUUACUGACACUCAACUACGAAAGCGUGGGGAGCAAACAGG
rnacentral:rRNA from 1 species